rnacentral:rRNA from 1 species
UACAGAGGUCUCAAGCGUUGUUCGGAUUCAUUGGGCGUAAAGGGUGCGUAGGCGGCGCGGUAAGUCGGGUGUGAAAUCUCGGAGCUUAACUCCGAAACUGCAUUCGAUACUGCCGUGCUUGAGGACUGGAGAGGAGACUGGAAUUUACGGUGUAGCGGUGAAAUGCGUAGAUAUCGGGAGGAAUACCAGUGGCGAAGGCGGCUUCUUGGCCUGUUCUUGACGCUGAGGCGCGAAAGCUGGGGGAGCAAACGGGG